GGGUCAGUAGGCUGGUCGUGCCACCGGUACGUACUGGUCUCACUGAUUCCUCCUUCCUGAAGAACCGUAAUGCCGGUAAUUUGGUGUUGCGGGGAAACAGGACUGUUACUUUGAAAAAAUUAGAGUGUUUAAAGCAAGCUAACGCUUGAAUACAUUAGCAUGGAAUAAUGAAAUAGGACGAUCGAUCCUAUUUUGCUGGUUUCUAGGAUUGACGUA
rnacentral:rRNA from 1 species